AUUAGAUUUCUUCGGAAUGAAAAUAAGUGGAUUAGUGGCGAACGGGUGAGUAACACGUGAGUAACCUGCCUUACACAAGGGGAUAGCCUUUGGAAACGAAGAAUAAUACCCUAUGACGUCAAUUUAUCGCAUGAUGAAAUGACCAAAGAUUUAUCGGUGUAAGAUGGACUUGCGUCUGAUUAGCUAGUUGGUGAGAUAAAAGCCCACCAAGGCGACGAUCAGUAGCCGGCUUGAGAGAGUGUACGGCCACAUUGGGACUGAGACACGGCCCAAACUCCUACGGGAGGCAGCAGUGGGGAAUUUUGCACAAUGGGGGAAACCCUGAUGCAGCGACGCCGCGUGAUUUAGAAGGCCUUCGGGUUGUAAAAAUCUUUUUUAUGGGAUGAAAAUGACAGUACCAUAAGAAUAAGGUCCGGCUAAAUACGUGCCAGCAGCCGCGGUAAUACGUAUGGACCGAGCGUUGUCCGGAAUCAUUGGGCGUAAAGGGUACGUAGGCGGCCUAGUAAGUUAGAAGUGAAAUAAUAUAGCUCAACUAUAUAAAGCUUUUAAAACUGUUAGGCUUGAGAGAUGAAAGGGAAAGUGGAAUUCCUAGUGUAGCGGUGAAAUGCGCAGAUAUUAGGAAGAAUACCGGUGGCGAAGGCGACUUUCUGGUCAUCAUCUGACGCUGAGGUACGAAAGCGUGGGUAGCAAACAGGAUUAGAUACCCUGGUAGUCCACGCUGUAAACGAUGAGUGUUAGGUUCUUGGAAUAAUCUG
rnacentral:rRNA from 1 species